UACGAAGGGGGCUAGCGUUGCUCGGAAUCACUGGGCGUAAAGCGCACGUAGGCGGCUUACUAAGUCAGGGGUGAAAUCCUGGAGCUCAACCUCCAGAACUCGUCCUUGAUACUGGUGUGCUUGAGUCCGGAAGAGGUGAGUGGAACUGCGAGUGUAGAGGUGAAAUUCGUAGAUAUUCGCAAGAACACCAGUGGCGAAGGCGGCUCACUGGUCCGGUACUGACGCUGAGGUGCGAAAGCGUGGGGGAGCAAACAGG
rnacentral:rRNA from 1 species